rnacentral:rRNA from 1 species
UACAAAGGGGGCUAGCGUUGUUCGGAAUUACUGGGCGUAAAGCGCGCGCAGGCGGUUCUUCAAGUCAGAGGUGAAAGCCCAGAGCUCAACUCUGGAAUGGCCUUUGAGACUAGAGAACUUGGGUACGGGAGAGGUGAGUGGAAUUCCGAGUGUAGAGGUGAAAUUCGUAGAUAUUCGGAAGAACACCAGUGGCGAAGGCGGCUCACUGGCCCGUUACCGACGCUCAGGCGCGACAGCGUGGGGAGCAAACAGG